rnacentral:lncRNA from 1 species
AUGGAAUUCCCAGGCUCGCCUAGGCAGAGCGGCCAGCCGUGGGGGCUGCCUUUUUCCUACUCCUGGCACGUGGUGGCUUGGGGCUGUUCGGCAAGAUGGCAGCAGCAGCGUCGGGGGCAGCACGCUCUUUUUGAAAACUCCAUCUGUGGUCAUAUCUAUCAGCAAUUAUUAAAUACACAGCAAGUGGGAAAUGGAGGCCUCCUGCAACUUCUCCAGACGUGAAACAAAUCAUUUGUUUGAUACUGGGACAAAGAUUGCUGAAGAUUUUUUGUUUAAAAAGUGGUAUUAUUUUUUUAAAAUGGAGCUAAGAAGAUGGACAUUUUUGCUGCUUUGGAAAAGACUUUGUGGAGUAUCCUUCAUGGUCCGUCAUAGUGACAGCCUCCCCAAUCAAUAGGCGGGGGUGGAAGGACAGGACAACACCUCCAGAGAUUUCAGCUAAGAAAUCUUUUUCAGCCUUGCCAUUUGGAGACAAAUGGUGCUGGGAGUUUAUACACAUCACUAAGCAAAGAUGGCAGAGGGGAACUAACAGGAAGUGAUAUAAAAUGAAAGCUGGCCUAACAGAUUUUGCUGCCAGGGGAAUAUAGGAAGCUGCCUUAUACUGAACUCUCAUCUACCUUGGGUGUUUAACUCCAUGAAAAUCUGUUCUGGAGCCUAAGAUCAGCAAUUCCCAAACUGUGUUAUGGAACUACAGGAGAAUAAAAUCGGAACCCCCAGUGGAUUAAACCUUUGUGCCGGCAGGACUGCUGUCUGACAGGUUGCCAAUUCGAAUCUGGAGAGAGCAGGUGAGCUCCCUCUGUCAGCUCCAGCUACUCAUGCAAGGACAUGAGAGAAGCCUCCCACAAGGAUUGUAAAACAUCAGAACAUCCAGGUGUCCCCUGGGCAACAUCCUUGCAGAUGGCCAAUUCUCUCACAUCAGAAGCAACUUGCGGUUUUCAAGUCACUCCUGACAUGGAAAAAAAGGAGAAUAACGUCCUCUGAACAGGUCCAUGACCAAAAUAAUUUGGAAAUUGCUGGAUUAGAUAGCCCAGGAGUGCAUCCACAUUGAGGGAAGUCCACAUUUCACUUCUCCUGUGUUGCCAGCCACUGCUGUUCUUGACCAGCCAUGGAGCUCCAUCCAAGCUCCUGGGCAUUGUAGGUACCUCUGCUGAGAUCAAAUAGGGGAGUCCACUGCUUCUUCCUGGUUGCACAACCACCCCUUUCUGACAUCUGCAGAUAGCAACACAGACAGGAUCCAUCCCAUUUCAUAGGUAAAGGGUGAUGGUGCCAGUACCUAAUAUGGACAGCAGAUUGGGCUGAAUUGGACCCAGUUGCACAGUCUGGAAUGCCCACAAGUUGCAGGAUACUCCUGUAGAGAAUCCCCUGAUUUUGCCCAAUGGGGGACAAGGCUGGAUUACAGUGCAAAUCCACUCCUAGGGUCGAUCCUUGGUGAAAUAAUUAACAAUUAUUCCGGAAAUGCCAACCACAGUUAUUUACAGAUUGUCAUCUUCACAAACUCGGGUGGAGUUUUUUAAAAUCCUCAGAAAAUGAUCACAUUCA